rnacentral:tRNA from 1 species
GCGCCCUUAGCUCAACGGAUAGAGUGCCUGGCUUCGGACCAGGAGGUUGGGGGUUCGAAUCCUCCAGGGCGCGCCG